GACGAACGCUGGCGGCGUGCUUAACACAUGCAAGUCGAACGGAAAGGCCCUGAGCUUGUGGGGUGCUCGAGUGGCGAACGGGUGAGUAACACGUGAGUAACCUGCACUUGACUUUGGGAUAAAUUCAGGAAAAUGGGGCUCAUACCGGAUAGGAGCUCCUGCAGCAUGGUGGGGGAUGGAGAGUUUCGGCGGUUGUGGAUGGAAUAGAGGGUUAUCGGCUUCUUGGUGGGGUAGUGGCUUACCAAGGGUUUGAAGGGUAGCCGGCCUGGGAGGUUGACCGGCCACAUUGGGACUGCGAUACGGCCCAGACUCCUACGGGCCGCAGCAGUGGGGAAUAUUGCACAAUGGGCGGAAGCCUGAUGCAGCAACGCCGCGUGCGGGAUGACGUCCUUCGGGUUGUAAACCGCUUUCGCCUGUGACGAAGCGUGAGUGACGGUAAUGGGUAAAGAAGCACCGGCUAACUACGUG
rnacentral:rRNA from 1 species